rnacentral:lncRNA from 1 species
CCACCAGUAACGAGAAAUGCUAUAGACAAAACAGAAAAUUUCAGAGAAAUUUUGGCAGCAUGUUUAACUGAAUAACAAUACACAGUACAUCAUUUAUUUUCAGGGAAAGAUGGAGCCGUGCACGGAAGCAGCCGGGCUGCCGCCACGUUCGGACACGACAGCAGCGCGUUCACGUGCGCGCGGCCGGCACUGCAGCCAGGCAGGGUGGCCGCUAGACCUGUUCGCCGGCAGCCGCGGUGAGGAGGAGGCCCGUGCAUGGAUCCCUGACCGGGGCUGUGCGUCGGCGAUGGGCCUCCACCUCCCCCCUCCGCUCCUGAAGCUCCUCCACAAAGAACCCUAGCACCGAUGUAAACCCUAGCACUGGGGAGAGAAAAGAAGAAGACAGUGGAGAAGUUACCAUCGAGAAGGCAGCACAGAGCACGGACGUCGGAUAGGAAGAGGCCGCUGUCGACGUUGGUGCACCGCCGUGCCGUCUCCUCGUGUCGCCAACCGCACACCGGCGCCUUGCGUCCGGAUUGGAGCCGUAGGGUUGGAGGUGGGGAUUUGAUC